ACCCUUUAAUGUUUGAUGUUCUAACGUGGACCCGUAAUCCGGGUUGCGGACAGUGUCUGGUGGGUAGUUUGACUGGGGCGGUCUCCUCCUAAAGAGUAACGGAGGAGCACGAAGGUUGGCUAAUCCUGGUCGGACAUCAGGAGGUUAGUGCAAUGGCAUAAGCCAGCUUGACUGCGAGCGUGACGGCGCGAGCAGGUGCGAAAGCAGGUCAUAGUGAUCCGGUGGUUCUGAAUGGAAGGGCCAUCGCUCAACGGAUAAAAGGUACUCCGGGGAUAACAGGCUGAUACCGCCCAAGAGUUCAUAUCGACGGCGGUGUUUGGCACCUCGAUGUCGGCUCAUCACAUCCUGGGGCUGAAGUAGGUCCCAAGGGUAUGGCUGUUCGCCAUUUAAAGUGGUACGCGAGCUGGGUUUAGAACGUCGUGAGACAGUUCGGUCCCUAUCUGCCGUGGGCGCUGGAGAACUGAGGGGGGCUGCUCCUAGUACGAGAGGACCGGAGUGGACGCAUCACUGGUGUUCGGGUUGUCAUGCCAAUGGCACUGCCCGGUAGCUAAAUGCGGAAGAGAUAAGUGCU
rnacentral:rRNA from 1 species